rnacentral:rRNA from 1 species
GUGUCAGCAGCCGCGGUAACACGUAGGGGGCAAGCGUUGUCCGGAUUUAUUGGGCGUAAAGAGCUCGUAGGCGGCUCACUAAGUCGGGUGUGAAACCUCCAGGCUUAACCUGGAGACGCCACCUGAUACUGGUGUGGCUAGAGUCCGGUAGGGGAGCGUGGAACUCCUGGUGUAGCGGUGAAAUGCGCAGAUAUCAGGAAGAACACCAGCGGCGAAGGCGGCGCUCUGGGCCGGAACUGACGCUGAGGAGCGAAAGCGUGGGUAGCAAACAGGAUUAGAAACCCCCGUAGUCC